rnacentral:tRNA from 1 species
AGGGAUGUAGCGCAGCUUAGUAGCGCGUUUGUUUUGGGUAUCAAAUUUCGCGGGUUCAAAUCCUGUCAU